rnacentral:rRNA from 1 species
CCUCUUAGGCAAAUCCGGGCGCAGGAUUCAAGGGACUGGGACGAGGAGUUUAGGCUCUGAAGCAAUCGGAAGUGGUUCCAAGAAAAGCCUCUAAGCUUCAGUCAUACGAGACCGUACCGCAAACCGACACAGGUGGGCGAGAUGAGUAUUCUAAGGCGCUUGAGAGAACUCGGGAGAAGGAACUCGGCAAAUUGGUACCGUAACUUCGGGAAAAGGUACGCCCUUGUAGCUUGGCUGAUUUACUUCAGUAGGGCGAACGGGUUGCAAUAAACUGGUGGCUGCGACUGUUUAAUAAAAACACAGCACUCUGCAAACACGAAAGUGGACGUAUAGGGUGUGACGCCUGCCCGGUGCUGGAAGAUUAAAUGAUGGGGUGCAAGCUCUUGAUUGAAGUCCCAGUAAACGGCGGCCGUAACUAUAACGGUCCUAAGGUAGCGAAAUUCCUUGUCGGGUAAGUUCCGACCUGCACGAAUGGCGUAACGAUGGCCACACUGUCUCCUCCCGAGACUCAGCGAAGUUGAAGUGUUUGUGAUGAUGCAAUCUACCCGCGGCUAGACGGAAAGACCCCAUGAACCUUUACUGUAGCUUUGCAUUGGACUUUGAAUCAAUCUGUGUAGGAUAGGUGGGAGGCUUUGAAGCGGGGACGCCAGUUCCCGUGGAGCCAACCUUGAAAUACCACCCUGGUUCAUUUGAGGUUCUAACCUUGGCCCGUUAUCCGGGUCGGGGACAGUGCAUGGUAGGCAGUUUGACUGGGGCGGUCUCCUCCUAAAGUGUAACGGAGGAGUUCGAAGGUACGCUUGGUACGGUCGGACAUCGUGCUAAUAGUGCAAUGGCAUAAGCGUGCUUAACUGCGAGACUGACAAGUCGAGCAGGUACGAAAGUAGGACAUAGUGAUCCGGUGGUUCUGUAUGGAAGGGCCAUCGCUCAACGGAUAAAAGGUACUCUGGGGAUAACAGGCUGAUUCCUCCCAAGAGUUCAUAUCGACGGGGGAGUUUGGCACCUCGAUGUCGGCUCAUCACAUCCUGGGGCUGUAGCCGGUCCCAAGGGUAUGGCUGUUCGCCAUUUAAAGUGGUACGUGAGCUGGGUUUAAAACGUCGUGAGACAGUUUGGUCCCUAUCUGCCGUGGGCGUUGGAAAUUUGAAGGGGGCUGCUCCUAGUACGAGAGGACCGGAGUGGACAGACCUCUGGUGUACCGGUUGUCACGCCAGUGGCAUUGCCGGGUAGCUAAGUCUGGAAGAGAUAACCGCUGAAAGCAUCUAAGCGGGAAACUUGCCUUAAGAUGAGAUUUCCCAGAGCCUUGAGCUC